rnacentral:rRNA from 1 species
GAUGAACGCUGGCGGCGUGCCUAAUACAUGCAAGUCGAGCGAACAGACAAGGAGCUUGCUCCUUUGACGUUAGCGGCGGACGGGUGAGUAACACGUGGGUAACCUACCUAUAAGACUGGGAUAACUUCGGGAAACCGGAGCUAAUACCGGAUAACAUUUGGAACCGCAUGGUUCUAAAGUGAAAGAUGGUUUUGCUAUCACUUAUAGAUGGACCCGCGCCGUAUUAGCUAGUUGGUAAGGUAACGGCUUACCAAGGCAACGAUACGUAGCCGACCUGAGAGGGUGAUCGGCCACACUGGAACUGAGACACGGUCCAGACUCCUACGGGAGGCAGCAGUAGGGAAUCUUCCGCAAUGGGCGAAAGCCUGACGGAGCAACGCCGCGUGAGUGAUGAAGGGUUUCGGCUCGUAAAACUCUGUUAUUAGGGAAGAACAAACGUGUAAGUAACUGUGCACGUCUUGACGGUACCUAAUCAGAAAGCCACGGCUAACUACGUG